AUUGAACGCUGGCGGCAUGCCUUACACAUGCAAGUCGAACGGUAACGCGGGGCAACCUGGCGACGAGUGGCGAACGGGUGAGUAACGCAUCGGAACGUGCCCAAUCGUGGGGGAUAACGUAGAGAGAUCUACGCUAAUACCGCAUGAGACCUAAGGAUGAAAGCAGGGGAUCGCAAGACCUUGUGCGAUUGGAGCGGCUGAUGUCAGAUUAGGUAGUUGGUGGGGUAAAGGCCCACCAAGCCGACGAUCUGUAGCUGGUUUGAGAGAACGACCAGCCACACUGGGACUGAGACACGGCCCAGACUCCUACGGGAGGCAGCAGUGGGGAAUUUUGGACAAUGGGCGAAAGCCUGAUCCAGCAAUGCCGCGUGCAGGAAGAAGGCCUUCGGGUUGUGAACUGCUUUUGUACGGAACGAAAUAGCUCUGGUUAAUACCCGGAGUUGAUGACGGUUCCGUAAGAAUAAGCACCGGCUAACUACGUGCCAGCCGCCGCUGUAA
rnacentral:rRNA from 1 species